UGACUAAUUCUCACGCGACACGGGGACCUGUGGCCCAGGGAAAUGAUCGCCGGCGCCAUGUUACUGUUCUCUGCCUUCAUGGGUACCUCCUCCACUCUCUUUAUAGCCACUCUGGAGAAUCCAGUCCACGCCAUCACCAACCAGACAGCCGUCCUGCCCGUCUCCCUGCGAUUCUCUACCCCGCCGGGGGAAUUCUUCCACCUCAAAUGGGAUUUCCUCUCAGGCGACCGCCCCGUCUUAGCCUACGUGAUGAGCAAGUGCAAAGGCAGCGCCCAUGAGUGGUGGCAGCGCUCCUGCCAGCGCGGCGUGAAGGUGGCGAAGGAAUAUCAGCAGCAGGCAAAUGUCUCUCUGCAGAGCGGUUCCCUGGUGAUCCAGCGUGUGCAGCCCACGGACGCUGGGACGUACCGGAUAACAGUGCGAGGCCUGGAUGUGUUUGUCAUGGCAGAGGUGAACCUGACAGUGACUGAAGCAGCUGCACCAACAAACUCGGGAAGAGUAAACGGAGCCAGAUUCAGCCUGGUGCCCAACGCCAUCCGCCUUGGCUUAGCCGGCCUGGUUCUCUGUCUCUUGGGGCUGAUCGUGGGAGAGGCAGUUUACAAGCCAGCCGGCUGCUCUCCGCACCACCUGGAGGGAAGCCAAGAGCCAAGAGACGAGCUGGAGACUCUGGCCUGAGCCUCCACAUGCCUGGAUCUGCAGUGCUGAAAAUCCCCCAGCCGUCUAGUCUUGUACCCCGUGGCCAGCACAGGAUGCUUCUGAAGAAAGCAAAACGCCCCCACCCUGCCACACCCGGGGUGCUGGUACGUGGCAGGGGCUGCACUAGAGCGCGGUGUUUGAUCACCCGCCCGGCCCUAGCACAGCCUGGCAGAACGACCACUGGGCCCCAUUAGAGUUUUCUUUCAGCGGCAAUGUGGCCUAGUGGCUAGAGCACUAGACUGGCCCUGCCCUGAGGAGAUCUAGGUUCCGUUCUGCCGCCAGCCUGCUGGUGCCCGUAGCCAAGUCCUGUCCCUGCCCAGUGCCUCAGUUUUCUCAUUUGUUACAAUGAUGCCGACUUGCUUUGUGAAGUGCUUUGAGAUGUGCUGAUGAAGAGAACCAGAUUAAUUAUUAUUAUUUUAGCUCUUUCCCACUAGGUCAGAUACGACCCCAGCUCUGGAGGGGCUCCCCCCUUUUGACAGAAGAACUCCGGACCAGGUUUACAAGGGCCCAGCACUCACCAUUGGGGCCAGAGUUUUCAGUUCCCAAUUAGGCACUUACAUAAGUGGGCCAAAGGUCUCAGUGCCCAUCAUGCACCCAACGCGCUGAGCCCUUUAGACGCUCUCGCCCCGAUGGUGGGAGCCGAGCCCUUCUGACAAUUCCAGCCCUCUACAGGUGACAGCUGCUUAAAUGGGUCAGGUUUUACCUACUGGUGAAAGAGAACUCUUUACCUCUGCCCACUGCACAAAUAUUGGCAACGGUCGUAAAGAUCCAGCUUAGGGUUGCCAAUUUUGUAUGGAUGUGUUCCUGGAGAUUUCAUCACCUGACGUAAUCUUUAAUUAAAGAUUGCUCUUUAAUUUCCUGGAGACUCCAGGAGAACCCUGCAGGGUUGGCAACCCAAUCCACCUGCAUCUGACUCCUGCAGCAGUGAGUUCCACCGGUUGUCUAUACAUUGCCCAAAGUAGUUCCUUGUGUAGGUUCCAAAUUAAUGGCCCCUUCUUUUCAUCUGCUUAUCAGCACUGGAGACAAGAGUCUUUCAUUGCUGUAAUCCAGUGGUUCUCUCAACCUUUCCAGCCACUGUACCCCUUUCAGGAGGCUGACUUGUCUUGUGUACCUCCAAGAUUAAUCUCACUUAAAAACAACUUGCUUACAAAAUCAGACAUAAAAAUACAAAAGUGUCACAGCCACCCUAUUACUGAACAAAUGCUGACUGUCUCAUUUACCAUCUAAUUAUAAAAUAAAUCAACUGGAAUAUAAAUACCA
ensembl:lncRNA